rnacentral:rRNA from 1 species
UACAGAGGGUGCGAGCGUUAAUCGGAAUUACUGGGCGUAAAGCGUGCGUAGACGGUGGCGUAAGUCAGAUGUGAAAGCCCCGGGCUCAACCUGGGAAUUGCAUUUGAGACUGCUCUGCUCGGGUGCGGAAGAGGGAAGCGGAAUUUCCGGUGUAGCGGUGAAAUGCGUAGAUAUCGGAAGGAACACCAGUGGCGAAAGCGGCUUCGUGGUCCGACACCGACGUUCAGGCACGAAAGCGUGGGGAGCAAACAGG